UCCGGCUUAUCACCGGCAGUCCCUUUAGAGUGCCCAACUGAAUGGUGGCAACUAAAGGCGAGGGUUGCGCUCGUUGCGGGACUUAACCCAACAUCUCACGACACGAGCUGACGACAGCCAUGCAGCACCUGUCUCUGCGUCCCUUGCGGGAAAACCCCCAUUAAGAGGCGGUCGCAGGAUGUCAAACCCUGGUAAGGUUCUGCGCGUUGCGUCGAAUUAAUCCACACGCUCCGCCGCUUGUGCGGGCCCCCGUCAAUUUCUUUGAGUUUUAGCCUUGCGGCCGUACUCCCCAGGCGGGGUACUUAAUGCGUUAGCUACGGCACGGAUCCCAAGGAAGGAAACCCACACCUAGUACCCACCGUUUACGGCGUGGACUAC
rnacentral:misc_RNA from 1 species